AAUAUCAAAGGUGAGCCAGUACAGGAUGGACCCGCGUCUGAUUAGCUAGUUGGUAAGGUAACGGCUUACCAAGGCGACGAUCAGUAGCCGACCUGAGAGGGGGAUCGGCCACAUUGGAACUGAGACACGGUCCAAACUCCUACGGGAGGCAGCAGUGGGGAAUAUUGCACAAUGGGCGAAAGCCUGAUGCAGCAACGCCGCGUGAGUGAUGAAGGCCUUCGGGUCGUAAAACUCUGUCCUCAAGGAAGAUAAUGACGG
rnacentral:rRNA from 1 species